rnacentral:rRNA from 1 species
UACGUAGGUGGCGAGCGUUAUCCGGAAUUAUUGGGCGUAAAGAGCGCGCAGGUGGUUGAUUAAGUCUGAUGUGAAAGCCCACGUCUUAACCGUGGAGGGUCAUUGGAAACUGGUCGACUUGAGUGCAGAAGAGGGAAGUGGAAUUCCAUGUGUAGCGGUGAAAUGCGUAGAGAUAUGGAGGAACACCAGUGGCGAAGGCGGCUUCCUGGUCUGUAACUGACACUGAGGCGCGAAAGCGUGGGGAGCAAACAGGAUUAGAUA